rnacentral:misc_RNA from 1 species
GUCAAUGGAUAUCAACUUUACAGCAACACUUUACAGAUCAUAGGUGAAACCAGACUGAUUGUGAUCCUAAUUGUCUACCUUUGAUAGUAUCUCCAGCUUUAUUACACUCACUAGCAAACUAACAUGUAUAGGCAAUUCUACAUUAUUAUAAAGAAAAACGAGAUGGACAAUGGUUUUUCCAUGAGAUAAACUUGAUAGUCGAUGCAUAACCAAGAUCAUGCAGGAAAAUGAAGGACUAACUUAAGCUCUUGGAUAGCGCAAUCGCCCUUUUUUCCUGAGGAACUCAGGAAUUUCCACUGAACCACCUUCCAGAAAGGAUGCAGGCCGUCUGUUAGUUCCAAGUGAAGCAUCUCCCUGUGCUAGUUGGUUUCCCUGGAGGGGCCUCAUAUCACUUUCUUCUUGGCGCUUGAAACCAGUGGCAAUCAGCGUUAUGCUGACCUGUCCACUUAUCGAUGGGUCUAUCACCGCCCCAAAAAUGAGGUUAGCACUUGGAUCCACAAGGUCAUAUAUAACCUCUGCUGCAGCAUUUACCUCAAAUAAUGUUAGAUCACUACCACCAGUUAUAUUCCACACAAUUCCAGUAGCCCUCUCUAUACCGAUAUCCAGCAGAGGAGAUUGAAUGGCGUUCAAUGCUGCAUCUCUCGCUCUGGUCUUUCCUGUAGCAGUUCCUAUUCCCAUUAAAGAAGACCCAGCAU